AGGAGACUGCCACAGCAGCUGAUGUGGAAGAAUCCCUGGCCUUCCAGAAAGCCCUCGACUGAUAAUACUUGGUGAGAAGCUGAGUGAACAAUGCUGGAUGGUCACCAUUGAGCCCCAGGUAGUGUUUCAAGGGGUCCAGCCAACCUUUCUCCCUGGACUUGCAGCACUUUUGGCAUGCUAAUACAAUUUCAACCUUCAGUACCAGGAAGAGGCUGCUUGUACCCUUGAGUACAUUCAGAGGAGUUUCCUUGGGAUCAAUCCCAAAAAAGGAUCAAAGUCCUGCCAAGGGAAGAUGGUCAGCAAAAAGACAGGACAAGUCGUGCAGAAGAAGUCCACCUCUGUCAACCCACAUGUCUGCACAUUGCUUCGGAGGCUGACUGAGUUUGAAUGGGACUUUGUGUAAUGUGAGUGGGCUCAACAGACGUCUGUAUGUUGCAGCCAAAAGACAGAACUGCCACUAGAGAUGGUAAAACAGUAUCAAUUUUUUCUUUGUCAAUUUCACAAUGUUUUCCAUGUAACUCUUAUCGUUUUUCAUUUCAGUCAUUUUGCUUAUUGUUUUUUGCAGAUGUGUUAUCGUUUAGCGGUUAACCGUUAAAAAGUACUUUUUACUUUUUUACUUAUACUUUUGACUGGAUAAUAUUGACAUGAAAAUAUAUACUUUAGCUUUCAUUUUAUACCUCAUUUGAUAUGGUAUUAUGAUUUUGAAUUUUGAGUCAUCAUAUCCUGUUUUAUGUGGAAAUGCCCAUAAGUUACCCGCCUCUGUAUUUUUGUUUGAGGUGCUGUUAUCAGAAAACAUUUACGUUUAUUUGCUUUAGAGCAAUGUACAGCAAGUUUCUGUCUGUCUGAAAUAA